CGCUACUUAUGAUGCCAUCUCAUUUCUUCAGCUGUCUUUGUGGACAUAUACAACUUUUAAAGUCUUAAAAUCAAUAAAAAAUACUUCAAAAUCUUUUGAGGUAUCUUCUUUCUUUUCUUGUUAUCGGUUUUGUACCUAGGCUCAUCAUAUUUCGAACAUUCUGUUGCCUAUUUGUUAUCCUGAUAAAAUAAUAUACAAUUAUUUUUAUAGGCAUGUAUAGGAAU
rnacentral:lncRNA from 1 species